rnacentral:tRNA from 1 species
ACAAUUAUAUUCUAUAAAGAUUUAAAAUUGCAAAUUUUAAGACAGAUGUUUAUUCUUUUUUGUU